ACGGAACUAUAAAUAAAAGAGUGAUUUACUGGAUGAGUCACUUUUUGACUUUGAGCACCAAGAUAAGUCACUUUCGGCUACUGGGGUAGUUUUUCAGAGUAAAAUGACUAGGAUACCCUUAACAUCAACUUUUUUCUUUUCUUUUGUUACAACUUCGUUUCUCUAUUCUCUCCCAACGAGAAGAAGAUUUAACCCCUUCACCCAUCAAAGUAUCUUUAAUCGAAGGAACCUCUGUCCAGUAAAUUUGUGUACUUUGCAGAUUAAGACUUCACAACCUCAUAUUUACUGCAAUUUCAAGUGAUAUUUACUGCAAUCUCAAGUGUGGUGAAGACUCACCGGUGGUUGUCAGAGAUAUCGUAAUCUCGCCAUAAAUCUCCACUUUGCCAGAAGACGGAGCACUGAAUCGAGGCUUCUAUCUUCCGUUGUAUGUAAGAGGAAGAGAGAUAUGAAGAAAAAGUGAACUUUUUGUCCCUUUGAAUGUUGAUCGCAAAAUUUCGGUUAUUUAAGUGGAGCAGCAUAUCGACAGAGGUGAGAUGUAGACCACCUUUGGAGGCAAAUAAGAUCGAAGAGGUGAAAUAUAUGUUUGAGAAGAUCAGAAGAUAACUCAAAAACAAAGGUUCCAAGUAAGUAAAUGAGGUCAUGUCUCAAGAAUUCGAUAAGAACCGGAUAUGUUGCUUUUGUUGAGAUGUCAAGCACUGGUUGGAGAAUGAUAUCAAAAUUUGAUUAAAUAUGAGCACAGGAUUACAUAUUUGAAACAUAGCUCAUGUUUCUUGCUAUAGAUUUCAAGUUUUACAUGGUGUACACAUAACAUAUGAGAUCUUGUGUACAUGUGGAUAGAAUUUGAAGAUGUACAUGUGGACCGUGUGUUGUCUGUACAUGUGGACACUAUAUGUGUACAUGUGGACACAAUAUAGUUUAUAAAGAUUUCUCUUAUUGCUUACAAAUAUCUGUCCAUAAUAAUAAGCGCAUGUCUAUAUGGAUAUGUAUA